AUUGAACGCUGGCGGCAUGCUUUACACAUGCAAGUCGAACGGUAACAGGCCGCAAGGUGCUGACGAGUGGCGAACGGGUGAGUAAUGCAUCGGAACGUGCCCAGUCGUGGGGGAUAACGCAGCGAAAGCUGUGUUAAUACCGCAUACGAUCUAUGGAUGAAAGCGGGGGACCGUAAGGCCUCGCGCGAUUGGAGCGGCCGAUGUCAGAUUAGGUAGUUGGUGGGGUAAAGGCCUACCAAGCCGACGAUCUGUAGCUGGUCUGAGAGGACGACCAGCCACGCUGGGACCGAGACGCGGCCCAGACUCCUACGGGAGGGAGCAGUGGGGAAUUUUGGACAAUGGGCGCAAGCCUGAUCCAGCAAUGCCGCGUGCAGGAAGAAGGCCUUCGGGUUGUAAACUGCUUUUGUACGGAACGAAACGGCCUGGGUUAAUACCCUGGGCUAAUGACGGUACCGUAAGAAUAAGCACCGGCUAACUACGUGCCAGCCGCCGCCGUAACAC
rnacentral:rRNA from 1 species